ACUGGUUCGAAAUCCUUCAUUAGCAUAAACGCCCUAUAAGUAGGAGAAGUCCGUUUCCAAUUCACAGUGAGCUUCCGGUGUUUGGAGAUCAGAACAUGCCUGAGCCUGCGAAAUCUGCUCCCGCCCCGAAGAAGGGCUCCAAGAAGGCAGUCACCAAGGCGCAGAAGAAGGAUGGCAAGAAGCGCAAGCGCAGCCGCAAGGAGAGCUACUCUGUGUACGUGUACAAGGUGCUGAAGCAAGUGCACCCGGACACAGGCAUCUCUUCCAAGGCCAUGGGCAUCAUGAACUCGUUCGUGAACGACAUCUUCGAGCGCAUCGCGGGCGAGGCGUCGCGCUUGGCGCAUUACAACAAGCGCUCGACCAUCACGUCCCGGGAGAUCCAGACAGCCGUGCGCCUGCUACUGCCCGGUGAAUUGGCCAAGCACGCCGUUUCCGAGGGCACCAAGGCGGUCACCAAGUACACCAGCUCCAAGUAAUCGUGCCAAGUAAGCUUCGGUUUGGAAUUCCAAAGGCUCUUUUAAGAGCCACCCACUUUUCUCAAAGAGAGCGCUGUGGCCGACUGUUCAGUUUCAUCCGAAAGCAGCUAAGGGGCGCUUAUAAGCCUUUAUAGUUCAGACUGUGGAUGCAAUGGGAGUUCAUCGGUCUUAGUUUAGUAUUUUGUUUAACAAAUGUUUUAUAGGGGAAAAUUCAGUCAUCCCAGUAGACGUCACUUCCGGCGAGGCUGAGUCCAGAACUAAGUUGUAGAACAGGGGUGAAUGGAGACGGUAAUUGUUCCCAUUAGAGGGAGUUUGUCUUUAAACAAUAAUUCCCGAUUUUGAUUUGUGACGAAGUGCUUCCAAAUAGGCUUGCAUUUUAAAACUAGUAAAUAGGAGGGGCCUGUCACAAAAAAAAAAAAAAAACUUCAUAUUUUUCGACUUAACAGCUUACGGAGCUAUUACGUGGGAUAAGACCUGAGAUCUUAGGUUAGUUUUUGAGAAUGUGAUCUGGCAUUAUCAAAAACCUGCAAUGAGGUUCUGGUGGGAAAGGAAACUGAAUUGUUCAAAUGCAAAUGUAACAAUUUGUCGCUAGAGUACUUUGGCCAAGCUAUAUUAAUUUUUAUAGUUCCAAGGACGUGAAGGCUUAGAGAAGUGAGAGGAAGAGCUGAAGCAAGGAGUGAACUGGAAGGACUUAAUUUAAGAAAACCCAAAACGAAUGCUUGCUGUGGAUGUUGACUUAAUUCAAAGUUAGAAAAGAAUUUCAGUUCUUAGUGGAGUGUAUUCUUCUGUUUGUCCAGACGAAAGGCUAAUAUUUCCAUAGCCCUAACUGUCACUGAACAAAUUUGGCCAUAAAUGCUGGCUGUACCCAAGCUCAUUUCACUUCCUCUGGACCCAUUUCUUUUAAAAGCUCUUGUCUUGCCUGUUCGAAGAAACAGUACUGUAGCUUCCUCUCUUCUCUGAUAGAAGUUAACACCAUAUUAUCGUCUACAAUCCUUUCUUUCUAGAAGCUGUGCCUAGACUAUUUAGUACUACAUUAUGUCCUGACAAUGUGGAGAACCUUUCAGCCUUCUGGCGCCUUAUGUCUUCUUCGCGCUGCAGCUUUGUUCUUGCAAACCUUCCUUUUUCUGGUUCGCUUUUGGUUGAUUUAUUGCCAAAACCCCACCAGUCAGGCUCAGAAGUGUAUAAAGGGUUUCCAGAUUGAUACCUUUUCAUUUGACAACAAUUCAGUGUCGACUUUCACUUUUGCCUUUGGUGAGAUUCCUGUUUCUUUGUGUGGCCUGUCCAUUUUUAUCUCCUUCCAAUUCUCUCUGUCUGUCUGUCUUUUGCCACCCCACCCCCCCCCCCCCCCGUGUGUGUGUGUGUGUGUGUGUGUGUGUGUGUGUGUGUGUGUUUGCCUGUGAGAGGUGUGUGUGUGUGUUUGCCUGUGAGUGAGAGAAAUGUGUGGUGUUUAUGAGUUCACAUGGUUGUCUGUUCAGAAUUAUCAUGACUGUAUGAGAGAGAAUAUAAGUAUAGAAUAGUUGCCACCAGUAAGUGGAUUUUAAUGAAGCAUAGACUCAAGACAGUUCCAGACAAGAAGAAAUCAGUGACAUGGUACCUUUUCUCAACAUUUCUAAAAUUUGUGAUUUGGUCAUUCCAUGCCUGUUUCAUAUGCAGACAGGGUUAUUGGCUAUGUUCUUUUUAUUGUGAUGUUCCAGAGGGGAGUGAGAAACAGCAUGAACUUGCCUGCUGAGGCAGAAAGUUUGCUUCUAGGAUAUAUAAAACAGUAUUACUUAAAUUUUAAUGAGUUUAUUAUAAGGGAUAUGGCAGUAGAAUACCAAACUUGAAACUGAACAAGAGAGGAUCACUCCUGUUGGGAAUAGUUCUCUCCUGAUAGGACCUCUGAUUUAAAAUCAAAACUUUUGUCUCAGUAGUCAUAAUACUUCAAUAGUUAUCCAUGUCUGUGUUCAUUGACCUUCAGUCUUUUCUAUUGUUCUAGUUGACUCCUCUAACUUUGAUAACUGCUGUGACUAUUUCCUAUUUUAUGAAUAUAAGUAAAUUUGAGCACAUUGACUAUCCCAGCAGGAAAUGAAUAAAUUAUAAUGUGAUUUAAGUAUAAAUAGAUUUUUAUAUAGGAUUUAAAAAGUAUGUCGACUUUAAUUAAUUGAAAACCAUUAAUUAGUAUAAAUUAAUACACAUUCUUAGGCCUUAAAUUGAAGUGUGGCCUCUAAGGUUGCAAUCAAACUCACAUAGUUCUAGUCAUAAUUGCAUUUGUAUAUUUUUUGUUUACUUAAUAGUUAGACUUUUGGUUUGUGUUAAGAUGGAUCUUUUUUUUAUUUUUUUCUUUAUUAACUUGAGUAUUUCUUAUUUACAUUUCGAUUGUUAAUUCGUUUUCCCAGUUUCCAGGCCAACAUUCCCCUAACCCCUCCCCCUCCCUUUCUCUAUAGGUGUUCCCCUCCCCAUCCUCCCCCCAUUACCACCCUCUUCCCAACAAUCUCGAUCACUGGGGGUUCAGUCUUGGCAGGACCAAGGGCUUCCCCUUCCACUGGUGCUCUUACUAGGCUAUUCAUUGCUACCUAUGAGGUUGGAGCCCAGGGUCAGUCCAUGUAUAUUCUUUGGGUAGUGACUUAGUCCCUGGAAGCUCUGGUUGCUUGGCAUUGUUGUUCAUAUGGGGUCUCGAGCCCCUUCAAGCUCUUCCAGUCCUUUCUCUGAUUUCUUCAACAGGGGUCCCAUUCUCAGUUCAGUGGUUUAAUGAUGGCAUUUGCCUAUGUAUUUGCUGUAUUCUGGCUGUGUCUCUCAGGAGAGAUCUACAUCCGGUUCCUGUCGGCCUGCACUUCUUUGCUUCAUCCAUCUUGUCUAAUUGGGUGGCUGUAUAUGUAUGGGCAACAUGUGGGGCAGGCUCUGAAUGGGUGUUCCUUUUGCCUCUGUUCUAAACUUUGCCUCCUUAUUCCCUGCCAAGGGUAUUCUUGCUCCCCUUUUAAAGAAGGAGUGAAGCAUUCACAUUUUGGUCAUCCUUCUUGAGUUUCAUGUGUUCUGUGCAUCUAGGGUAAUUCAAGCAUUUGGGCUAAUAGACACUUUAAGAUGGAUCUUUUAUUAUAAACGAUUACAGUUUACAGAAGCUAGGAUUUAUUGUACAAAAAAAGACUACCUUAAGUUUACCAACAUUUCCUACUAGAUUUAUUUCGUUGAAUAAAAAUCACUUUUUAAUAUAAAUAAAUAGUAUAUAUUGAGCUAAAUCAAAUCAGAAGGUAAUUUUUUAAAUGGAAUAAAAACUUAAAUAACAAGUAGUAAGGACUCACCAUGUCAGCUUAAAAACUGAAUUCACUGGCAAAUAAUUACUUUAGAACUUAGAUGACUUUUCCUUUUUUUUUUUUUUUUUCUUUUUUUCGGAGCUGGGGACCAAACCCAGGGCCUUGCGCUUGCUAGGCAAGUGCUCUACCGCUGAGCUAAAUCCCCAACCCUUAGAUGACUUUUAAAUGGAAUGAAUUAGUGUCUUCUCACUUGGAGGUUACCAAACACAAGACAUUGAAAUGUUUGCUCUGUUUAAGUCUCCUACUGUUACACAGGUUAUAAUGAGUAGUGCUUACUUAGCACAUUAGAAAGCACUGUUCUUUUGAUUUAAAAUGGUGAGACCAUCUUUGCUUUUGCCACUUUAGAUUUGUAGGAGUGAAAGAUAGUGGAGAUAGACCAUGGGUUUAGAGGGCCAGGCAGGCUUGGGACUGGGGCUUGUUAGUGUUUAUCCACAGAAACACAAUUGCUGGCUUUGUUUAAGGGUUGUCUUUAAUUGCUACCAAGUUUCCUAGCUACAGAGGAAAACAAAUAAGCAUACUAGAUAAUGAUCAUGUUUACUCGAAGAGUUGGCACUGUUAAGUAAUAUAGUAAUUCACUUUAGUACAUAAGACUCACAGGUGUAACAGACUGUCUCUUUCAUUUUUAUGUAGCUGGGAUUUGUUCUCAUAUCUUAAUGUAAUGAUCAGCUCAUUGUAAUUAAUAAUAAAAAAUAAAGUUUGUAAUAAUAAAUUUGACAGAAUGAGUCUUACAUCAAAAACCUA